UUAAAUUGAGAGUUUGAUCCUGGCUCAGGAUGAACGCUGGCGGCGUGCCUAAUACAUGCAAGUCGAACGAAACUUCUUUAUCACCGAGUGCUUGCACUCACCGAUAAAGAGUUGAGUGGCGAACGGGUGAGUAACACGUGGGCAACCUGCCCAAAAGAGGGGGAUAACACUUGGAAACAGGUGCUAAUACCGCAUAACCAUAGUUACCGCAUGGUAACUAUGUAAAAGGUGGCUAUGCUACCGCUUUUGGAUGGGCCCGCGGCGCAUUAGCUAGUUGGU
rnacentral:rRNA from 1 species